UAGAUUGAAGCCCGCUGGUUUAGGCUUUUAUUUGUUAACUAAAUAUUUAUGGGAUCAAGGCCCGUCGAUCUAG
rnacentral:tRNA from 1 species